GAUAAUGUUGUGACAAGUGUUCGAACAAGUGAUGUCGACACUGAUGACUUCCCGAUUAAGAUAGGACUGCAUCAGGGGUCAGCUUUGAGCCCUUAUCUUUUUGCAUUGGUGAUGGAUGAGGUCACAAGGGAUAUACAAGGAGAUAUCCCAAGGUGUAUGCUCUUUGCGGAUGAUGUGGUGCUAGUUGACGAUAGUCGGACUGGGGUAAAUAGGAAGUUAGAGUUAUGGAGACAAACCUUGGAAUCGAAAGGGUUUAGGCUUAGAAGAACUAAAACCGAGUACAUGAUGUGCGGUUUUAGUACUACUAGGUGUGAGGAGGAGGAGGGUUAG
rnacentral:rRNA from 1 species